rnacentral:pre_miRNA from 1 species
AAUAACCUCAUUUUUUCUUUUUCCGUGUCCAACGUUUGACCAUUCGUCUUAUUUAAAAUUUUUUUAUGAUUAAUAUUUUUAUUGUUACUAGAUAAUAUAAUAUAAAUAGUACUUUAAACGUGACUAAUUUUUAAAGUUUUUGUACAAUUUUUUUCAAAUAAGACAAAUGGUCAAACGUUGGAUACGAAAAAAC